rnacentral:rRNA from 1 species
AUACGUAGGGGGCAAGCGUUGUCCGGAAUGACUGGGCGUAAAGGGUACGUAGGCGGCUAGGUAAGUCAGAUGUGAAAGGCAUGGGCUCAACCCAUGUAAGCAUUUGAAACUGCUUAGCUUGAGUUAAGGAGAGGAAAGUGGAAUUCCUGGUGUAGCGGUGAAAUGCGUAGAUAUCAGGAGGAAUAUCAGUGGCGAAGGCGACUUUCUGGACUUAUACUGACGCUGAGGUACGAAAGCGUGGGGAGCAAACAGGAUUAGAUACCCUGGUAGUCCACGCCGUAAACGAUGAGUGCUAGGUGUCGGGGGUCAAACCUCGGUGCCGGAGUUAACACAUUAAGCACUCCGCCUGGGGAGUACGUUCGCAAGAAUGAA